rnacentral:lncRNA from 1 species
GAAUCCUGAACAUUCUCUUGAAGCUCAUCCUCUUCAUCAUAAAUGAUCCAGUUGUCCCGAAAUGACCUAGACCAAUAGGGAAAUCCCAAUUCAUUGGUCCUUUUGAUACAAUCAAAUUGAAAUCCCUAAGGGCUCCAUAUUCUAGGAGCCCAAACUAUGUGAUUGAAUAAAUCAUCCUGCGGGUCAAGAGAUCCUUCUACCUCCCCUUCUUCAAACUCCGUUUCAUAGAGAAAUCUAUGAUCAAGGAUAGACCAAGAGCUCUUUUGCAUUAUAUCUAAGGGAUUCCUCAGUUCGGGCCAAAGAAGCAAUGUCACUCGAUUAUUAUCAAACUGACUGCAAUCUUUUUCUGUCCGUGAAGAUCCCACCAGAGCGCCUUCUACUUCUAAUAGGCCAUGAACUAGAUCAGAAUCAUUCUCAACGAGUCUAUAAAAAGUGAUCCUAUUUUUUUUGUCGGGUCCAGAUAAAGACCAAAGAUCUUGAACGAUCGAUCCGGCAGAACAACUUAAAAGAUAAAGAAGUAUCGUUAAUCUCUUCAUGUUUGUUCCAAGCUCGAAGUACCAUUUGUACAAAUAAGAAUCCCCUUCGUUACAUGAUAUCUUCUUCAUCUAGAUAGAUAUAGGAUCUAUGGGGCAAUUAGUUAGAAGUACAUUUUGUGCUACAACCCUUCCUAUCUGAUAGAAAAGGAUCCCAUGAUCCUGAACCGAUCUUACCUGGGAUCGCAAAUCCCAAGUUUGUCUAUGAAGAGCGGAUCUAAUUGUAUUAGAGUUUAUAAUUGAUUUCUUCUGUGUAAUACUAAUCGAUAGGACCUCAUUGGUAAGUUCUACAAGAUCUCGUGCAUUGGAACCCAUUGUUAUAGACCCAAAUCCAUUAGUAUGGAACAGUUUCUUUUCUAAGUGAAAUCCCUAGUAUAUGAAAGAGUGAAAAAGUGCUUUCGUUGUUGUGGAAUAAGAAGCAAACGUCACUUAAUGCACGUAUUUAAUUUAUUUGGAGCUAUUAGAGCGGGAUCUACUUUUUGGGGAAUAUGAGUCGAAGCAAGAGCAAGAAUAUUUCUAGAACAACAUCUUUCACAAUCCCUGGAGAUAUGGUUCACUAAUAGACCGAGCGAUAAGUCAUUCGACUCAUUCACAUCCAGAUCAUGAAUGUUUGGAAUCCAUAUUAUGCAAGGAUACAUUGCUUUUGCUAAUUCGAAUUGAAGGGUGAUAUAAAAUCGGUCUAUUUCUGGCAUCACAUCCACAGUUAGCCCAUUCAUCCUAGUUAGCAGUUCCAGCUCAGUAUCAAGGUCACGAUCGAUAUUGUCACUAGCAUCAAUUUUGUCACUAGCAUCAAGAUUGUCACUAUCAUCAAUAUCAUCACUAUCAUCAAUAUCGAUCUCAUCAAGAAGAAAACCUUUAGGCUUGUUAUACAGGAAAUUGUGCAGAAAUACCGUAAUGAAAGGAACAUAGGAGUUUGUCGUUAGGUAUUUGACCAAAUAGGAUCGUCUAGUUCCUAUAGAACCUAUCACUAAAAUACCCCUAAAGAGGGAUAAGGCUAAGCAGAGCGAAAAGGGUUUUCCAUGAGAUGGGAAAUGAAAACUACUUUCCCCACACGAAGUUUAUGAAUAAGUGAUUGUCUGAUAAUGAGCAAGGAAUAUCCGUCUGUCUGCUAAACAGGAUGGAUUGAACUCAUAAUUCAUUAAAUUCUUUUUAUGAAUGUCAACUAAGUAUCGUAAGUAAAUUGCUCCCGGUUGUUCAAUCAUUUGAUAACCAAAGUCAUUCUUUGAUAAAUGAUCACUAUGAGUCAGACUUAAUAGAAUUUGAUCAAUUCUAUUUUCUGUCAUUAAGGUGGAGAAUUGAACCAAGAAUUCUCUUUCUUUAUCAUGAAUCAAAUCACUGUUCGCGACCCAGGAUUCUAUUUUCACAUCAAUCCAAUCCCCGUUCGCAUUUUUUCUUUUUCUUAUCAAUGAAUAGAUCUCUUUACUUGUAUGACUUAGAUGUCUCAUAUUUCUCAAAAAAGUGAUUCGACUGAUGGGAUUUGGUAUGAGAUCGAUGAUCUCGAUGAGAUUGAUAUUCCAAUCUUUCUUCUUAGAACGUAUUGAUUUGACCCCAUAAGCGGGACCAAGCAUGUUGCCGCCAGAAGCAGAACCCCAUAUUUCUUCUAGAGAAUCUCCUAAUUGUUCCAGAGCAACUAGAAAGAGAUUCUUUAACCAGAAAGAAUUUGGGUCAGAUGUAGGAUACCUAUCCAGAAGUUUUCGCAACUCAAUCAUAGAUGAUGGAAUCAUUAAAGAUUUGACCCUUUCGAACUCUGUCUGUAACUUACCAGAGGCCCGAGAAACAAAGAGAAGAUGUGUACGAACAAGAUAUCGAGCAACAAGAAGAAGGAAAAGGAUCGAAUAGAGCAACUCCCGAGCAUUUGGCGAUCUCAGAUAUGUCGAUAUCAAUGGUGACUCAUUAUUUCAAUGAAUCAUUUCUUCGGACAGAAGAAGAUUAUGUAAACACUUACUUGAGAUCUCACUUAUCAGAUUCCAUUGUGGAAGACAUAAUUUUUUCUGAAGAAUUCACCAUGAUAUACCUGAUCCAUGCAUAAUAUCGGGAAAAGUGGAUACAAAUUUUUGACCGCGACUUAGCAUUGGCAAUAGGUCUGAAAAAGUAUCUAAAAAUAUCAAAUUUAGAUAUUUGUACCAUGUCGAAGUAAGGAACUAUGGCAUAUAUGUUUAAAAUAGAUUCCAUUUUGAGAGAGUUAAAAAAGCACUAUCUCGUUGAAAGGUUCUAUACAUCUGCCCUUUCUCAAUGUAUUUCUUUAGACAAAGACUCUGUUUUAUCCUCUUUUCGGAUGAUAAAUCUUUCUCAGAACAUGGAGUGUGAAUCAAACCUAUAUUUGAAUUAAAAUUAAGAUACUGAUGCAAGUUCUUCCCUUCUGAAUCAGAUAGAUUCAUACCUGAAAGAGGUUGACAAUAAGUUCUUUCAAAAUUGACUAUUUUCCCCUCUGUUAGAGGUGUUCCAGAUAUGUCUGUGAUCGACUAAAUAGCUCUACAAAUGAAUGGAUUAGAUCAACUUGGAAAAUGGAAAGAUUUGUACAAGUUAUACGUUUCGUCACCACUUUGUGGAAAAUCGUUAGGUAUGAAUAUGUUAGAUACCUGUGACUCGAUUGGUGAAAUAGUAUCCCUUCCCCAAAAAGUAUGUUUUUUUUACCGACGCAUAAAGAAAAUAUUUUGUUACGAAUGAACAAAAUAUUGACGAAUUGUCCAUACGUAAAAUUAGAAUUAUUGAUACGAGUAUUUUCCAUAGAAAAGGGGAAUCUUGUGUUCCAAUAGAAGCAGAAGUGUUGGGGAUUAUUCAAGAAUCGAAGUCGAUUUGCUUUAUAAAAAAAAGAUAUCAAUGAACUUCUAUGAAAUGGUUUCACGAGAUUCAGCCAAUUGUCUUGAUCAUGGAAUAUCAUUGAGAAAUAGGAAUCCGGGUUAUUAAAGGAUUUUCUGCAAUUAUUUCUAGUAUGGAAUGAGUCAAUCAUACACUUUGGUAUCUUAUUGAACAAAAAUGGUGAUAUUGUUCCUCCAUUGAUCAAGAAUUUCGAUUUUUGGGAAGUAUCAUGAUCGUCCAAUAAGAAAGGUUUCAUUUUUUGGAAAUGAACAACUUGAAGACAUAUUGAUUCUAAUAACUGAUUGCAGAGUUGAUCAUUCGGACCUUUCAAUUCAUAGAUGUAGAUCUCAGACCUAGUAAUGGGGAUAUUUCCUAAAAUAACACAGAAAAAAGGAAGUGCGUAAGACAAAAAUAAAAGCAACUUGGACAAAAAAAGAGGUGACUUGGACAAAAAGAAACGAAGUAGCUUAGACAAAUAUUUUUUGUCGAUAACCUCAGACAAAUCAAUCGAAUAUCGAUUAAUACGUAAUUGAUCGAACACUACUUGAAAAUGGCUCUUCUGCUCCAUAAUGGACUGUUCCAAAUGUUCCUGGAAAUUCUUGCUCCCAUUGGACCAUUUGUAUCUAUAUGCAUCAGGAUCCCAAUUCAUGGGUCUCUCGGUUUAAGAAAUCAAAAUAAGAGGCUCGAACCAUUUCUUCUAACUCUUUUUCAAAUUCGAUAAAUAUUGGUUGAUCGUAUAUUUCAUUAUAGUUCUAUGAUUUAGAGUAUCCUUUCCUAUUUGAUCCCUUUGAAUUCCAUAUUCGAAGUUGCGAUCAGAUCUAUUCAUUAAAAAGAAUCGAUUCAAUACAUUUCUUAUGUACCCAUAGGUACUAUAUUGGAUUUGAAUCAGAUUUUGGAUUAAUCUAUAUUGAGUGACUGCCUCCAUUAUGUUGUUGCUAGCAAAUACCACUAUAUUUGGUUUUGGAUCUUUCAAAUCAUUCCCGCAAGAGAUCCGAACCUAUUUUUUUCUGAUCCUUCGAGAAAAAGAUUCAUUCUCUUCAUAAAAAAUAGGAGGUAAAACCAAUAAAGAUUUCUUUUUCGAUUCAUCCCUGGUCUCAUUCAAGAAUUGUUUCUGAUCUAAUCUACAGGAAUAAAUAGAAAAGGCAAUUCCCAUAUGAUACACCAGAUCCGGCUCGGUUAUUGAUAAAGUGAAUAGAUUUGCUAUUUCUUGAAAUCUCUUUUUUGAUUCAAAAUCGCAGUGUAACGUGUAUCCUUCCCUGUUCCGGUUAUGGAAUAAAUGAAAUAAAUCAAAAAAUAGAUUUUUGUUCAAGAAUGAAAUCUUAUUGGAACUGUCCAUAUCUGGUUCAUCCUUCGGAACCAUAUCACAUCCCAAAUCUGAUGAAAUAGGAUGAAUUAAGAUGGUAUUUUGUAAAUACAUAAUUAUCUUGAAUAUAUUAACCAUUUCUUUAUUUUUUGAUCGCCUGGAAGGGACAAAAGAAAGGUCUUGUUGUUUCUUCAACAAUUUCUGAUCUCUAGUGCACCGCUCAGUAGGAUUCGAACUGAGAUGAAGUUCUUACCAUAUAUCAGAGAAAAAAGAACGAACGAAUCUUGUAGGAUUCCCAAGAAAUUCUUUAAUUUCUUCCAGAAAUAGAUGAUUAAUCAUCUGCUUCUCAUAUUCCGUGAAUAGCUGGGACAUUCAGGAAUAUCCAGAAAGGCAUUUCGGGAAUCAGCCUGAUUCUAUAUCUUUUUGUUCCAUUUGAAGAAAGGAAGGAUCCUAAAGAAUCGAUCUUUAUGUUCAUUGUUGAAUCUCUCUUUGAUUAAUCAAUGUAUGAUAUUCCGAAUCCUCAUUACUAAUGGAAUCCAAAUGAUCUCUGGAUUGAUCAGAAGAUCCUUUCAGUUGGCUAGAAUUCGUUACUUGAAUGAAACUAGAUCUUGUGGAAUCAUAUUGAAUAUUUGAUGAUACAUUCUAUACCUUGCUAAAAAACCGAUCCUUGUUUACCAACCACACAUUGUCUAACCAAAUCCAAUUCUCUCUCGAUACGGUCCUAAAAAAAUUCAAUUCGGGCGCAUUCUUCCCCUAACUAAUGAAGAGAUCUUGGCGGAAUUGCCAUAUAUGAAAUUGAGCACAGGUUUGCAAAGAAAUAGCCCACUUGUUUCUGGAGAAGAGAUGGGAAAUAUGCUCAAUAUCAUUUGAUUGAACAGUUGACCCAGCCCCUUGUUGUUUGAAGAAACCCUCCACUUCAAUUGGUAUUUUUUCACAAAAAGCAGACAUGAGAUAAGAAAUCCAGUGUUACACUAUGAUUUUGAAUAGUGGUCCUGAAAUUGAAGUUGAUUCUAUUUUGACUCUUCCUCAGAUAAAGAUGAUCAAACAAUUCCCAAUCAUGGUCCUUGCAGAUCGGAUAAUCCAUAUAAGAUACAAAAAGAAACUCCAGAUAUUUGAGAUCUUUCUCUUUGAAUAAGAUCUCAAUUCCAGCGACGGUUUCAUUAGAUAUCAUACAACUAGAAUCCCUCUUUUUUCUGAUCCAGUUCCUCCACCAAUGCGAACGCCAGUUAGAUUCAGGCAUGCUACACUUUUUAGUUAUUGGGAGAUCCCAAGUACUCUCUUCCGAAUUCAGGAAACAACUCUCAGAGAUCUUUUUUCCUUUGGGAAGAUACAGGAGCUAAACAGUCAACCUAUUGAUAUUGGAAGACCCAAUGGAUUCUUCCAAUGUAUCAUUUUUGGGUCCAAUGGAAUUCAUAGGUAUAGGAAGAAGCCCUAUCAAAUAGAGAUUUUUUCUUUCGACCACAUUUCGAUUAUUAAUACGAUAUAUAAGGACCACUGCUACAAAGAGUAUUACACCCUUGAUCGUGAAAUAUCAAUUGUUUGUUGAAUCCUAUGAAUUGCGUGAAAGCAGGAUACUCCAAAUUUGGGGAUCAAAGAGUUUUAGAAAAUUUUCUUGGUGGAAAAAAAUGUGAAUGAGGGAUCCCACUGAAUUGAAUUGGGUCCAUGAAUCUAAGAAAUGGUGAGAAUUCUUGAUCUCUCUCAAUAUCUCUCUCAAUUCAAAAAUCCAGGAUUUGAAUUGAUGUCCUCUCAUUGAUUCCUCCUAAAUUACAUUACAUUGAUUCCUCCUAAAUUGCAUUGAUUUAUCCUAAAGAUUUCAUCAUUGAUUUAUCCUAAAGAUUUCAUUUCAAUUGGAGUUUGGUUAUUCACCAUGUACGAGGAUCCCCGCUAAGCAUCCAUGGCUGAAUGGUUAAAGCGCCCAACUCAUAAUUGGCGAAUUCGUAGGUUCAAUUCCUACUGGAUGCACGCGAAUGGGACCCUCCAAUAAGUCUAUUGGAAUUGGCUCUGUAUCAAUGGAAUCGCAUCAUCCAUACAUAACGAAUUGAUGUGGUAUAUUCAUAUCAUAAUAUAUGAAUACAUAACAAAUUGAUGUGGUAUAUUCAUAUCAUAAUAUAUGAAUACAUAACGAAUUGAUGUGGUAUAUUCAUAUCAGAAUAUAUGAAUACUUAAUGAAUUGAUGUGGUAUAUUCAUACAAUAAUACAUGAAUACAUAACGAAUUGAUUUGGAAUUGCCUCUGUAUCAAUGGAAUCGCAUCAUCUAUACAUAACGAAUUGAUGUGGUAUAUUCAUAUCAUAAUAUAUGAAUACAUAACGAAUUGAUGUGGUAUAUUCAUAUCAUAAUAUAUGAACAGUAAGAACUAGUAUUCUUAUUGAGACUAUAACUCAUAGGGAAGAAAAUCGAUUUAUGGAUGGAAUCAAAUAUGCAGUAUUUACAGACAAAAGUAUUCGGUUAUUGGGGAAAAAUCAAUAUACUUCUAAUGUCGAAUCAGGAUCAACUAGGACAGAAAUAAAACAUUGGGUCGAACUCUUCUUUGGUGUCAAGGUAAUAGCUAUGAAAUAUAUACAUAUAUAAGAUGUCGGGAUAGGGUAAAGGUCAUGAACAUGAGAUUUUUAAAAAUAUUAACCUAGAUUAUGUAGCUUGAUCCAUCCUAAAGGCACCCAUGUGCUACAUGGGUUCAAAUCCCCCUAAGUUAUUCUAUUCCACCUCUUAGAAUGAAAAGAACUUAAAUAAAAAUAAUUAAUAGCAUGGCGAUACAUUUAUACAAAACUUCUACCCCGAGCAUACGCAAUGGAACCAUAGACAGUCAAGUGAAGUCCAAUCCAUGGAAUAAUUUGAUCUAUGGACAACGUCGUUGUAGUAAAGGUCAUAAUGCCAGAGGAAUUAUUACCGCAAGGCAUAGAGGGGGAGGUCAUAAGCAUCUAUACCGUAAAAUCAAUUUUCGACGGAAUGAAAAAGACAUAUAUGGUAGAAUCAUAACCAUAGAAUAUGACCCUAAUCGAAAUACAUACAUUUGUCUCAUACACUAUGGGGAUGGUAAGAAGAGAUAUAUUUUACAUCCCAGAGGGGCUAUAAUUGGAGAUACCAUUAUUUCUGGUACAGAAGUUCCUAUAAAAAUGGGAAAUGCUCUACCUUAGAGUGCGGUUUGAACUAUUGAUUUACGUAAUUGGAAAUAACCAAUUAGGUUUACAACGAAAUCUAGAAAUUGAUCACUGAUCCAAUAUGAGUACCUCUACAAGAUAGACCUCAAUAGAAAACUGAAGAGUAACGGCAGUAAGUGAUUGAGUUCAGUAGUUCGUCAUAUAAAAUUAUUGAAUCUAGAGAUAUAGUAAUAUGGAGAAGACAAAAUUAUUUCAAGCACUGACAGAACCGGAAGCGCCCCUUCUUUCAAAGAGAGGAGGACGGGUUAUUCACAUUUCAUUUGAUGGUCAGAGGUGAAUUGAAAGUUAAGCAGUGGGAAUUCUAAAGAUUCCCCGGGGGAAAAAUAGAGAUGUCUCCUAUAUUACCCAUAAUAUGUGGAAGUAUCUACGUAAUUUCAUAGAGUCAUUCGGUCUGAAUGCUACAUGAAGAACAUAAGCCAGAGGACAGAACGGGAAGACCCAGGAUGUAGAAAAUCAUAAUAUGAGUGAUUCGGCAGAUUUGGAUUCAUAUAUAUAUCCAUCUAUGUGGUAAUUCAUUCUACGAUAUAUAAGAUCCAUAUGUAUAGAUAUCAUCAUCCACAUCCAGAAAGCCGUAUGUUUUGGAAGAAGCUUGUACAGUUUGGGAAGGGGGUUUUAUUGAUCAAAAGAAGAAUCUACUUCAAUCGAUAUACCCUUAGGCACGGCCAUACAUAACAUAGAAAUCACUCUUGAAAAGGGUGGACAAUUAUCUAAAGCAGUGGGUGUUGUAGCGAAACUGAUUGCAAAAGAGGGGAAAUUGGCCACAUUAAAAAUACCUUUUGGGGAGGUCCGUUUGAUAUCCAAAAACUGCUCAGCAAUAGUCGGACAAGUGGGGAAUGUUGGGGUGAACCAGAAAAGUUUGGAUAGAGCCGAAUCUAAGCAUUGGCUAGAUUAGUGUCCUGUAGUAAGAGGAGUAGUUAUGAACCCUGUAGACCAUCCCCAUGGGGGUGGUAAAGGGAGAGCACCAAUUGGUAGAAAAAAAACCAACAAUCCCUUAGGGUUAUCCUGCACUUGGAAGAAGAAGUAGAAAAAGGAAUAAAUAUAGUGAUAAUUUGAUUCUUCGUCGCCGUAGUAAAUACGAGAGAAAAUCUAAUUUAAUUCUUUGUUUUUACAAAAACUUUACAAAAAAAAAAUAGGAGUAAGCUUGUGACACGUUCACUAAAAAAAAUCCCUUUGUAGCAAUCAUUUAUUAAAAAAACUUGAUAAGCUUAACACAAAAGCAAAAAAAGAAAUAAUAGUAACUUGGUCCCGGGUAUCUACCAUUAUACCCACAAUGAUCGGUCAUACUAUUGCUAUCCAUAAUUGAAAAGAGCAUUUGCUUAUUUAUAUAAUGGAUAAUAUGGUAGGCCACAAAUUGGGAGAAUUGGCACCUACAUUAAAUUUUAGAGGACAUGCAAAAAGCGAUAAUAGAUCUCGUCGUUAACGUUAACAUUAAUUAAAAAAAUUAUAUGCUUAUGAUUCAGUAGGAGGAGGAAAACCUUAUGCUAAAGAAGAAAAAAAUGGAAGUAUAUGCUUUAGGUCAACAUAUAUCUAUGUCUGCUGACAAAGCACGAAGAGUAAUUGAUCAAAUCCGCGGACGUUCCUAUGAGGAAACGCUUAUGAUACUAGAACUCAUGCCCUAUCGAGCAUGUUAUCCCAUUUUGAAAUUGGUUUAUUUUGCGGCAGUAAAUGCUAGUUACAAUAUGGGUUCCAGCGAAACUAAUUUUGUCAUUAGUAAAGCCGAAGUCAAUGGAGGUACUACGGUGAAGAAAUUGAAACCUCGAGCUAGAGGACGUAGUUUUCCGAUAAAAAAAUUGACCUGUCAUAUAACUAUUGUAAUGAAAGAUAUAUCUUUAGAUGAUGAAUAUGUCGAGAUGUAUUCGUUAAAAAAAACGAGAUGUAAAAAAAACUCUACAGCUAUGACGUAUCAUGAUAUGUAUAAUAGUGGGGGAUUAUGGGACAAAAAAUAAAUCCACUUGGUUUCAGACUGGGUACAACCCAAGGUCAUCAUUCCCUUUGGUUUUCAAAACCAAAAAAUUAUUCUGAAGGUUUACAAGAAGAUCAAAAAAUAAGAGAUUGUAUCAAGAAUUAUGUACAAAAGAAUAUGAGAACGUCCUCUGGCGUCGAAGGAAUUGCACGUAUAGAGAUUCAAAAAAGAAUCAAUCUGAUCCAGGUCAUAAUCUUUAUGGGAUUCCCAAAAUUAUUAAUAGAAAGUCGACCGCGCAGAAUUGAAGAAUUACAAAUGACCUUACAAAAAGAAUUUAAUUGUGUAAACCAAAAACUAAACAUUGCUUUGACAAGAAUCUGAAAACCUUACGAAAACCCUAAUAUUCUUGCAGAAUUUAUAGCUAGACAAUUAAAGAAUAGAGUUUCAUUUCAAAAAGCAAUGAAGAAGGCUAUUGAAUUAACAGAACACACUGAUACAAAAGGAAUUCAAAUUCAAAUUGCGGGGCGUAUCGAUGGAAAAUAAAUUGCACAUGUCGAAUGGAUCAGAGAAGGUAGGGUUCCCAUACAAAAGUUUCGAGCUAAAAUUUAUUAUUGCUCUUAUAUAGUUCGAACUAUCUAUGGAGUAUUGGGCAUAAAAAUUUGGAUAUUUCUAGAGGAGGAAUAAUUUUACUACUUGUCUUUCCCUUCUAUCCAAUGAUUGUACAAAACAAGACGAAUUCAUUCUUUUUCUAAUCAAUAAAGGGGAACAUUUCUAAUUCUUAAUUCUAUAAGGUUGACUAAAAAUUCGAUUGACCAUUUGAUAUAAUUGCUAUGCUUAGUGUGUGAUUCGUUGGUUUUUUUAGGGUUGGGAUUAAAAAGACCAGCUUACAUAGUAUGAAUUAAAAGCUAUAGAACUAAUAACCAAACCAUCACUUCGCAUUAUCUGGAUCUAAAGAACCAGUCAAGAUAUGAUAUAUAGGUCAUAUCUUUGUAGCAACUGAAAUCUUUUGAAUAAACAAAAAACAAAAUCUGAUUCUAAGUUGUAAAGCAAAAUAAAGAAAAAAGAUGUGGAUAAAUGGAAGGAUGAGAGAAAGAGAGAAAAAGAAUACCAAUGAUAUAAAAUUCCAAUAUGUAAGGUCUAUGAGUAAUCUCAUGAAAGGCAGUGUAAUAAAGCAUCAAUAUGCAUUCAUACCAUAAUAAAAAGAAUCUUCUUUAUAGAAAUAUAGAAAUAGAACAAAAAAUCAAGAGCUUCGAGCCAAUAAAGACUGAGAAGAUUGACUCAAGAACCAAUUUCAUUCUGAGCUCCAUUGUAGAAUUCGGACCUAACCAUUAAGUCAGAAGUGAUGGGAACGACGGAACUUGUGAAUGCAAAAGAUUCUAUUGAACAAGGAAUCUUAAUGAUUCACUGGUCGGGAUGGCGGAACGAACCAGAGAUUAAUUCAUGUAUUCUGAGAUCUGAGAAAUCACGAGUUAACCCUACAAAUGAAAUAGGGAUUGAAAGAGUAAAUAUUCGCCCGCGAAAACUUUUUUUAUUGAAAAAUUUAGGACAAUACAAUAAAGGACAAAAUAAGGAUUUGGUAUAAUAAUACAAUUUUUUAUAUUUCUAUUUAUAAAACUAAAAAGUUUAGUUAUCUAUUCAAACAAGAUAUAAAAAUUACUAAUAGAUUUAAUGAAAUCUCAAAGAAGCCCACGUUCAAGGUAUUACUCAGUAAAUACAUAUAUAUCUUAACUUAAGAUUGACUCUUCUAGCUUAAUUCAAAUUGAAUUUUUUGGAAUCCUUUUAUUCGCGAGGAGCUGGAUGAGAAGAAACUCUCACGUCCGGUUCUGUAGUAGAGAUGGAAUUCAGAAACAACCAUCAACUAUAACCCCAAAAGAACCAGAUUCCGUAAACAACAUAGAGGAAGAAUGAAGGGAAUAUCUUAUCGAGGUAAUCAUAUUUCUUUCGGUAAAUAUGCUCUUCAAGCACUUGAACCUGCUUGGAUUACAUCUCGACAAAUAGAAGCAGGCCGACGAGCAAUGACACGAAAUGCACGUCGUGGUGGAAAAAUAUGGGUACGUAUAUUUCUAAUCAUAUUUCUUUUGGUAAAUAUGCUCUUCAGGCACUUGAACCUGCUUGGAUUACAUCUCGACAAAUAGAAUCAGGCCGACGAUCAAUGACACAAAAUGCACGUCGUGGUGGAAAAAUAUGGGUACGUAUAUUUCCAGGCAAACCAGUUACACUAAGACCCGUAGAAACACGUAUGGGUUCAGGAAAAGGAUCCCCUGAAUAUUGGGUAGCUGUUGUUAAACCGAGGCAAAUACUUUAUGAAAUAGGUGGAGUAACAAAAAAUAUAGCCAGAAGGGCUAUUUCAGUAGCAGCAUCCAAAAUGCCUGUACGAACUCAAUUCAUUAUUUCGUAAUGUAAUAGACAAAAAUGUUGAAAGGGCUCUUAGAUAUGAAACAAAACCACAUGUUUAUUUUUUCUGGACAAAAAUAUUUCUUUUUUUUCUUCGCCCUUUGCAUUCAAAUAACGGAUUAAAAAAAUCAUUCAACCUCAGACCUAUUUAAAUGUAGUAGAUAAUAGUGGGGCUCGAGAAUUGAUGUGUAUUCGAAUCAUAGGAGCUAGCAAUCAUCGAUAUGCUCAUAUUGGUGACGUUAUUGUUGCUGUGAUCAAAGAAGCAGUACCAAAUAUGCCCCUAGAAAGAUCAGAAGUAGUCAGGGCUGUAAUUAUGCGUACCUGUAAAGAACUCAAACGUGACAAUGGGAUAAUAAUACGAUAUGAUGACAAUGCUGCGGUUGUUAUUGAUCAAGAAGGAAAUCCAAAAGGAACUCGAAUUUUUGGUGCAAUCGCCCGGGAAUUGAGAGAAUUAAAUUUUACUAAAAUAGUUUCAUUAGCUCCCGAGGUAUUAUAAAAUGAAAUUGUGAUCUGUUUCUAGUAGGGUAUUUGAAAGAAAUAGAUUAAUUAGUAGAUUGUGUCUCACGCAUAUAUCUUUAAUAAUUCAUAUCAUAUUCAAAAAUAAAUAAGUAAAAAACACGUUGAUUAUAUCAAAUUUGGAGAACCCAAUAAUUUUAGUUCAUCAUGGGCAGGGACACUAUUGCUGAGAUAAUAACUUCUAUACGAAAUGCUGAUAUGGAUCGAAAAAGGGUGGUUCGGAUAGCAUCUACAAAUAUUACCGAAAAUAUUGUUCAAAUACUUUUACGAGAGGGUUUUAUCGAAAACGUGAGAAAACAUCGAGAAAACAACAAAUAUUUUUUGGUUUUAACCCUGCGACAUAGAAGGAAUAGGAAAAGACCCUAUAGAAAUAUUUUAAAUUUAAAACGAAUAAGUCGACCUGGUCUACGAAUCUAUUCUAAUUAUCAACGAAUUCCGAGAAUUUUAGGUGGAAUGGGUAUUGUAAUUCUUUCUACUUCUCGAGGUAUAAUGACAGACCGAGAGGCUCGACUAGAAGGAAUAGGUGGAGAAAUUUUGUGUUAUAUCUGGUAUUAUUAUUAAAAAUAAUAUAAAUAUAACAAUAUAAUUUUUUAUAAAGGGCGGCUUCUCCUAGGUCGUGUCAAAUUCGCAUCGAAAAAAAGAGAUUUGUCCUCUCCUAUACUCCUAUAAAGAAAUCAAAAAAAUUUUCUUAAAAUCUCGUCUAAUACUAAUAUCUAAUCACUAACUAAUCUAAAAUCUAAUAAAAUAAUAAGUAAUAAAUUAAGCUUCCAUUUCAACACGGAACGGAACAAAGGGGACAAUAUACAGGAUGGGUAGAAAGAGUUGUGCUACUUGGCUUGAUUCAGGGAAACUACAAACUACAGGAUAGAAAAAAAUAUACCAAUCCUAAGAAUCCGUAGGAUUUAUUGUGGAUCCAAGACAACAAUAUUCGAGAUGAGAAAUUUCAAGAAACUUAUUUUCUUCCAAGAAAUAGAUUAAGAAUUAAGGUAAGGAAUGAAAAAUAUGAAAAUAAGAGCUUUCAUUCGUAAAAUUUAUGAAAAUGUCGACUAAUCCGCAGGCGGGGAUGAAUUAUAGUAAUUUGUUCCAACCCGAGAUAUAAACAAAGACAGGGAUAAUCAGACUUGCCAGAAGAGCCGAUGUAUAAAUAAAGAAUCUAUUUUGACAUAAAAUGGAUAUAUCCAUAUAUCUCUGACUCAUAUUUACGAGAUGAUAAAAUAUGGCAAAAGCUAUAUCGAAAAUUAGUUCACGUAGGAAUGGACGUAUUGGUUCACGUAAGGGUGCAUGUAGAAUACCAAAGGGAGUUAUUCAUGUUUAAGAAAGUUUUGAUAAUACCAUUGUCACUGUUAUAGAUGUACGGGGUCAAGUAGUUUCUUGGUCCUCUGCUGGUACUUCUGGAUUUAAAGGUAUGAGAAGAGGAGCACCAUUUGCUGCUCGACCUGGAGCAGCAAACGCUAUCCGUACCGUAGUGGAUCAAGGUAUGAAAUGAGCAGAAGUCAUGAUAAAAGGUCCCAGUCUCGGAAGAGAUACAGUAUUAUAAGCUAUUCGUUGAAGUGGUAUGCUAUUAACUUUCCUACGGGAUGUAACUCCUAUGCCACAUAAUGGCUGUAGACCUCCGAAAAAAAGACGUGUGUAGAGCUGAACAUUGAAGAAAUCUCAAGAGAAAUAAAAGAUUCGAUGAUCUAAUCAAAUAAUAGUACUAGAGUUUGAGAGAAAGUAACAUUAUCUACUCGGACACUACAGUGGAAGUGUGUUGAAUCAAGAACAGACAGUAAACGCCUUUAUUAUGGAAACUUUAUUCUGUCUCCACAUAUGAAAGGCCAAGCCAACACAAUAGGCAUUGCAAUGCGAAGAUCUUUACUUGGAGAAAUAGAAGGAACAUGUAUCACACGUGUAAAAUCUGAGAAAGUCCCACAUGAAUAUUCUACCAUAAUGGGCAUUCAAGAAUCGGUACAUGAAAUUUUAAUGAAUUUGAAAGAAAUUGUAUUGAGAAGUAAUCUAUAUGGAACUUCUGACGCGUCUAUUUGUGUCAAGGGUCCUGGAUAUGUAACUGCUCAAGAUAUCAUCUUGCCGCCUUAUGUAGAAACCGUUGAUAAUACACAACAUAUAGCUAGUUUAACAGAACCAAUUGAUUUUUGUAUUGGAUUACAAAUAGAGAGAAAUCGUGGAUAUCUUAUAAAAACGCCACAUAACUUUCAAGAUGGAAGUUAUCCUAUAGAUGCUGUAUUCAUGCCUGUUCGAAACGCGAAUCAUAGUAUUCAUUCUUAUGGGAAUGGAAAUGAAAAACAAGAGAUACUUUUUAUCGAAAUAUGGACAAACAGAAGUUUAACUCCGAAAGAAUCACUUCAUGAAGCAUCCCAAAAUUUAAUUGAUUUAUUUAUUCUCUUUUUACAUUUGGAGGAAGGCAAUUUAUAUUUAUAGGACAAUCAACACACGGUUUAUUUAUCCCCUUUUAUCUUUCAUGACAAAUUGGCUAAACUCAUAAAACACAAAAAAAAAUAGCAUUGAAAUUAAUUUUUAUUGACCAAUCAGAAUUGCUUUCCAGGAUCUAUAAUUGCCUCAAAAUAUCCAAUAUAUAUAUACAUUAUUGGACCUUUUGAAUAACAGCCAAGAAGAUCUUAUAAAAAUUGAACAUUUUCCUAACGAAGAUAUAAAAUAGAUAUUGGGCACUUUAGGAAAAUAUUUCGUAAUUGAUUUAGCAAAAAAUAACUUUUAAAUCUAUUGGACUUAUUUAGUAAAAAUAGAUUGAAAUCUUUAGCACAAUUGAUAUAUCAUAUAUUAGAAAUAAAUUCAGAAUUAAAUUGACUAGAUGUAACUAGGGAGAAUUCGCUUUGAAGAAACUAUUCCCUAGAUACACAUGUCGUGUUAUUUCACAAUUGAAUCAAUUAAAAAUAAAAAAUUUAAAAAAGACCUAAAGUUAGGGAUUUAUCAAUAGGUAAUGUUGCACCAAUGCCCAACCAAAGGGCGACUGCGGUACCAAUCAAAAAGACAGUCGUCGCUACUGGACGGCGAAAUGGAUUUUGGAAUUUAUUAACAUUCUCUAAAAAAGGUACUAUUAAUAAUCCCGCAGGUACUGAAACCAUUAAAAGAACCCCCAACAAUUUAUUGGGCACUGUACGAAGUAUUUGAAAUACAGGAAAGAAAUACCAUUCAGGUAAGAUUUCCAAAGGGGUUGCAAAUGGAUCUGCCGGUUCACCAAUCAUUGAUGGUUCUAAAACGGCUAAGCCUACAUUACAUGCAAUAGUACCUAGAAUUACUACUGGAAAAAUAUAUAAAAGAUCAUUGGGCCAUGCGGGCUCUCCAUAAUAAUUAUGACCCAUACCUUUAGCCAAUUUAGCUCUUAAUACAGGAUCAUUCAAGUCAGGUUUUUUUGUUAUUGGGAUAGGUGAAUUCUUAUAGAUCCAUCCCCCGAGGGAACUGGACAUGAUAAUUUUUAAUCAUCCAGCUCGAGCAAGAAUAAAAAGAACCAAAUGAAUCCAUAUAUCCAUAUAAAAUAUAUAUAUGGUACCUGUCUUUACACAUCCACAUAUAUGAUAGAGGAAUGGUUCAAUGUAAGAAAAAUUUGACUGAAUUCUUUUUUAUGGAAUUGCAACUAUCCAUUACAAAACAAAGAAUUCCGUUCUUACAAGUAAAUACUCAAGACCCGAGUAGGCUUACAAAUCAGAUCAUGAUAUGAUCAAGUGCUUUCUGGGUCGUCUCAGACCUUCUAAUUGGUAUUUAUCUCCAAAAUGCUUGGAGAUACACAUACAAGGUUUGCUUGUUACUAAUAUAGUCUAGCCUCUCUUCUUCUUUAGAUCCCUUGUUUCACUCCGAUAGUAGUAUUGAUCGUGUCAAUGCAGAGGAAAUGAAUACAUUUACAUACUAUUAAAUCUUAUAAGUGAACUAGAUAAAACGGAAUCUUGAUUCCGUUUUAUCUAGUUCACUUAUACUGGACCUUACGGAGCCUGCUCAUGUACAACAUGAUUCGGACCUGAUCAUAGAAAAGAUUCCCUUUAAGCGAACCAGCCUAUCCUCUGUAUAGGGCUUACACGGCGAUUGGAACAAAGACACAUUUGGUUGUGAAUUCCCAUGUGGCAGGCAUAUAUCUACACAGACCAAUCAAUAAUUCAAGUCACACACUCCCAUAAUCCAUUUUCUCUUCACAAAAUUCCCUUCAAUCCCCCCAUUUAGUUGACAUGAAUAGUUAAAGGGAAAUAUCCAAAUCCAUGUCUUAUUAUUUUCAAUAAGCCAUUCUUGUAACAAUGAAAUACUAUAUAUUCCUCCACCAAGUGAUAAGUGAUUGAUUACAAAUAUUUAGGAUAUUUUUUUUUUGCUCUAUCUAUAAAGGCCCAGAAAUACCCUGUUUACGUAUCACUGGAAAGUGCAUUAACAUAAAUACGGCAGCAAGAAGUGGCAAUACAAAAGUGUGUAAACUAUUAAAAUGAGUCAAAGUAGAUUGUCCCACACUAGCGGUUUCGCUCAAUAAUUUGACCAAAGGUGAUCCUAUUAUAGGAAUAGCGUUAGGGACACCUGUUACUAUUUUCACUGCCCAAUAACCAAUUUGGUCCCAAGGUUAGGAAUAACCAGUUACGCCAAAAGAUGCGGUUAAUACAGCCAGAACCACACCUGUAGCCCAAGUCAAUUCGCGAGGGUUUUUAAAUCCGCCAGAAUGAGAUAUACACGAAAUACAUGCAGGAGCAUCAUUAGGACUAUUAUACUUGCCGACCAUCAAUGAACUGAUCGGAUUAACCAACCAAAGUUGGCUUCAGUCAUUAUGUAUUAAACAGAAGCAAAAGCCUCAGUAAUGGUCAGCCGGUAGUAAAAUGUUAUAGCAAACCCAGUAGCUACUUAUACUAAAAAAUAAGUAAGCGUAAUUCCCCCUAAACAAUAAAAUAUAUUGAUGUGGUAGGGAACGUAUUUACUAGUUAUAUCAUCCACAAUCGUUGGAAUCUCGAGACGUUCUUCGAACCAAUCAUAUACUUUAUUGAUAUAGGCGGAACUCCCCCUUGAGAAACGUAUAUGAGACUUUCAUCUCAUACAGGUCAAGCAAAAACACCCAAAUACUAGUUGUAACGGAUAUGGAAUAGAAAGUUUUAAAGUUAUUAAGUUCUAAUCCCAUCUUCUCUGGAAAAUCCAAAAGCUCUUCUUUGUGGCGAUAAUACCAAAAUAUCAAGUUGGCGCAGUCGUCUUUAUCUUUAUUUUGAUACUUAUGGGCCUCUUGAAUUCUCUUUUUCCCUAUUUCUUUCUAGAAUUUGUUUUUGUGGAAUAUGUCUUUUAUUCUUUGUUUUCUUUAUUAUUGAUAGGAAUUCUCUUGUUAAGACCCUAUGAAUCGAUUAAAACCUCAGAUUCAUACUAGAACCAUGAUGAUUCAAUAAAAAAGACCUAACCUAAAUCAAAUCAAGAAUUCUCUGAGUAAGAAUCCUCGGAUCAUCACUUAUUCCUUGAAUAAAUAGAAUGACUAAAAAUUCAAAGAAACAUUUUGCUUUUGGUCAAAAUAUAAAUUAGGGGUUGAAAGAAAGGAAUCUUUCGAUUUAGAAAUUCGAAUUCUUUGUUUGAAAAUUUUUUGGAGCCUGGACACGGGGUCUGAAUAUUAAGUAUGAAUCAUAGUUCAAAUAUUUCUUAAUCUAUUUCGUGUUCCAAAUAGUAGAAUAAAUAUCUGACGAAGUAGAAUCAUCUCUAUCAAGAUGACAGACUCAUUCUCUGUACUAUCAAUAGGAUCAAUUAUAACAAGUCAGACACUCAUACUCCAGAAAUAUAGAAACAAUGAAAUUCUACGAUCGAACUACCAAAACAAAAUAGAAUGUACUAUAAAUCGGAGCUCUAAAUGAUUCAUUUUGGACUCAAAAGUAAGGACUUUGCGGUUUUUAUAGAUUUAAUUCAUUGAAAUUCCAUCCAAUAAAAUGGAAGAAUUAUAAAUCUCCAAAAUAAUAGAUAGAAAUACCGCAAAUAAGGCCAUUGCGACACCCAUCAAUGGAGUAGUUCCCCACCCAGGAGCUACUUCACCAUAUUCUGAAUUCAAUGGUUUUAAUAAAUCUCCUACUACAGUUCGUCUUAGACCAUAUUUAGAACUGUUCUCAAUAGUUUGUGUAGCGAUAAAUCCUAUUGUAUUCAUUGAGAUCUAUUGACUUUGUAUACCAUUCCGUUGUAAAUAAACGAUCCUAUCAUUGAUCCAUUGGGGUCUUGAUAUUAUAUAAAUAUGAUAAGAAUAGAAACAGCAACCCUAGUCGCCACUUUAAUAUCUGGUUUACUUAUAAGUUUUACUGGGUAUGCCUUAUAUACCGCUUUUGGGCAACCUUCUCAACAACUAAGAGAUCCAUUCGAGGAACAUGGAGACUAGUUGAAGUACUGAGCCUCCCGAUAUCGGGAGGCUCAGUACUUCAACUGAGAUAAUGAAAAAUUAUUUCACCUUUUUAGUUCUUUUUAGUUGGAACUUUAGCCGGUUCUUAAAAAAAUAUAGCGAAAAAAAUUAUCCCUAGAGUCGAGACUAAGAGGAAUGUAUAAACCAAUUCUUCCAUAGAUUCGAUCGUGGUUUACAAUUAUAGCUUUCAUACUUGUUUGUUUCUUUUUAUUUUCUUUUUUUAUCAUCUUCCAGAUAAAGAACUAACAAGAGUAAAAACAAAGUUGAUUCAAAUAAAGAUUUCUCUGGUACCCUUUGUCAAUAAAAGUAAAAGAAAGAAAAUAAGGGUAAAAGAAAGAAACCAAAGCAAUGCUGUAUCAGGCUGCCUGUCUUUUUGUAGUUGGAUCUCCAAGUUUUAGGAAUACCCCAAAUUCAACUUGAGCAUCUAAAUUUGGGUCAAUACCAGCAAAAAUAUCUCUGAACAAGGUUCUAUCACCAUGCCAAAUAUGUCCGAAGAAGAAGAGCAAAGCAAAUGAAGCAUGCCCAUAAGUGAACCAACCCCUUGGACUGCUAUGAAAAACACCAUCGGAUUUCAAAGUAGCACGAUCUAAUUCAAAAAUUUCACCCAAUUGAUCACGUCUAGCAUAUUUUUUCACAGUAGCAGGAUCACUAUAACUGAAGCCGUUGAGUUAACUGCCGUAGAACUCAACAGUUACACCUACUUGUUCAACACUAUAAUUUGAUUCUGCCCUUCUAAAAGGAACAUCAGCCCUAACAAUUCCAUUGCCGUCUACUAAAAUGACCGGAAAUGUUUCUGAAAAAGUAGGCAUACGACGUACAAAAAGUUCAUGCCCUUUUUUAUCUCUAAAGAUAGGGUGUCCUAACCAUCCAACCGCUAUUCCAUCCCCAUUAUCGAUUGAACCUGCUUUAAAUAAUCCUCUUUUCACUGGAUUAUUGCCGAUGUAAUCAUAAAAAGGUAAUUUUUUAGGAAUUUUAGACUAGGCUUCUGAUAAACUUUGAUUUUCUGCUAGCCUAGCACUAACUCUUUGAUAUAUUUCUUGCUGGAAGUACCCCUGAUCCCAUUGAUAAUGAGUGGGCCCAAAUAAUUCAAUCGAGGUAGUUGUCGAACCAUACCACAUAGUUUCAGCAACAACAAAAGCUGCAAAAAAGACAGCAUCAAUUCUACUGGAAAGGACGGUUUCAAUAUUUCCCAUACGCAAUCCUUUGUGUAGACAUUGUGGUGGAUGGAUGCUAAGAUGGAAUAGGUACGCUAAUAUGCCCAAUGUUCCUGCUGCAAUAUGAUGAGAGGCUAUUCCUCAUGGAACAAAAGGAUCAAAACUUUCUACGCCCUACGCUGGAAUUACAGGUUGUACUUUUCUCGUUAGUCCAUAAGGAUUGGACACCCAUAUUCUGGGACUAUAUAAGCCUGUUACAUAAAAUGCACCAAAACCAAAGCAAGCUACCCCUAAGAGAAAUAAAUGAAUUCCAAAGAUCUUUGGCAAAUCCAAAGAGGGUUUUUCUGUACGUUCAUCACAAAAUAUUUCUAGAUCCCACUACACCCAAUGCCAGAUAGCUGCCAAAAAGCAUAAGCCAGAAAACACAAUAUGUGCUCCCGCUACACCUUCAUAACUCCAAAUACCUGGAUUCGUUACAGUCUCCCCUGUGAUACUCCAACUGCCCCAUAAAUUGGUUAUUUCUAAACGAGUCAUGAAGGGUAUAACGAACAUACCCUAUCUCCACAUUAGAUUAAGAACAGGAUCAGAAGGAUUAAAAAAUGCUAAUUCAUACAGAGCCCUCGAAUCGGCUCAACCAGCAACUAGAGCAGUAUGCAUUAUAUGAACAGAAAACAACCGACUAGGAUCAUUCAAUACAAUGGUAUGAACACGAUACCAAGGAUAACCCAUGGAAAUACCCCUUAUAUCAAAGAUAAAUGGACACUACUUAACUUUAUUACAUUGGAAAAGACUAUAAUAUGACUAUCCUAUGGACCACUCUUGUUCAGUCAAUUAUUUCCGAAUCAAGGGUGUUCUAUUCUGGUAGUAAUAAUGGAACAAUUCUUUUUGUAGGAACAAGGAGAAGUAGAUUUAUUCUAUACUCAAUAAGUACCAAUACGCAAUGGGGGAGUUGAUCUCAUUUUCUAUGAGCGAAUGAGUCCAUACUUAUUUAUCAUUAGAAAGACCUAUUCGUAAUAAUUUGAGUUUAUUCAUUCUGUCUUUCUUUAUGAAUUUUUAGAAUCUAUGGAUAAAAUAAAUACGAUAAGAACCAAUAUGAAUAUUCUAAAGACAAUAAAAAAAUUGUUACGUUUCCACCUCAAAGUGAAAUAUAGUAUUUAGUUCUUUCUUUCAUUUAAUGCCUAUUGGUGUUCCGAAAGUUCCCUUCCGAGGUCCUGGAGAGGCAAAUCCACUUUGGGUUGACGUAUAGUGCGACUUGUCAGAUAUAUUGGGUCAUAUGGUAUUUCCCCGUUCUCUCCCCCGAUCGAGAUAUCCCCCGUUUCGCCCAAGAACGAUAAAACGAUAAAUUGAAUCAUCAAAAAUUUGGAGCGUGAAGUGCAAUUAGAUCCAUUUUUGAGGGGAUUCAUAUUACUAUUAUCAAUUAGAAUAAUUUAUGGUUGGCUUGGUUGGACUAAAAAAAUGAAGUAUCCAGGCUCCGUUUAGAAAAAACCCAAUUGGAUUGGUAAGAUAUCUAUGAUUGCUAUUCAUAUUUUUUCUUUGUAAUUUGUAAAGAGAUCCUAAUUGUCAAGCAAAGUUAUCUCAACUCUAAUAAAUACUUGUAUAAAAUGAAUUGAAAAAAAAAGAAAUACAAAAAGAAAUGGUAAUGGGAGCAUUUGUCCUAUAUGUACAAAUCCAAAUCGUGUGGAUCUUUACACGGAGUAGAGCAUAAACCUGAAAAAAUGAAACAGACCCAUUCAGGAACAAGAAAAUAACAUCGCAGUUUGGAUUAAAUCUCGAUGAAAGAAUACAUCAAUGAGAAGUUAAUUUGAUAAGUUUAAUGACCCUUUCUUAUAACUUCUAAUUUUAUACUGGAAAAUCAAAAAUAGGAGUAUAAAAAAGGAGUCAAAACUCCUCUUUAUUGAAAAAUUGAAGAAAAGCCCUUUCGUUAGAAGUAAGAAAUAACCUUUCUAGAAAAAAGAAAGAUGAAUGGAAUCUAUACAUUGAGUCACAAUUUUUUUGAACCGUAUGCAUCAAAAGGUGCAUGUACGGUUCCUAAGGAAUACAAUUUUACCCUAAUCAACCGACUUUAUUGAGAAAGAUUACUUUUUUUAGGCCAAGGUAGGAAUAGCGAGAUUUCGAAUCAACUUAUUGGUCUUAUGGUAUAUCUCAGUAUUGAGGAUGAGACCAAAGAACUGUAUUUAUUUAUAAACUCUCCUAGGGGCUGUGUAAUACCUGGGGUGGCUAUUUAUGAUACUAUACAAUUUGUGCAACCAGAUGUCAAUACAGUAUGCAUAGGAUUAGCCGCUUCAAUGGGAUCUUUUAUCCUGGUCGGAGGAGAAAUUACCAAACGUCUAGCAUUCCCUUACGCUUGGCGUCAAUAAGGUUUUUAUUUGAGAGAAAAAACAAGACUAUGCCUUCUCCAUAUGAAUACUAAGUAAUAAUAGCAUGGAAUUUCGAAUUUGAUGUGAGAAAUUUUGUAUUGUUUUUUUUUUUUCAAAACAUUAGAUUCUGUAUCGAGAGAGUAGUAUGAGAUAAGGGGUAUUUCCAAUUUUCUCUUAUCUAUUGGGACUUCGGUUCAACGUCACAAACUUUUUAGUUUUCAUACCGUAGAGUUCUUAACAAUAUUUAUGUUCUGAAAGAGUACGAAAAAAAAAUAUUUUUUCCUUAUUUGAUCGGAUUAAAAAGAAACUUUGGGAUUGCUGAAUCACAGACAAAAAAAAGAAAAAAAAACAUAUAAACCAACGGAGCCAUCAUAGUAUUUUUUAACUCCUCCGAAAGGAAGGAUGGCAAUUUGAUUAUUUACCCAUUGGAGUCUGAUAGAUUCUAUUUUUCUCUUUCUUCAAUAGAAAGGAGGGGAGUCAAUUUUCUUUUAGAGACGUAUGCACAAAAGAUGCCUGUACAGUUUCUCAAUUCUAUAUUUUUUCUAUUCUUUAUCUUUCUUUUCUCUUCUCUUUAUCAUGUGAGAUAGGAGAAGAUUUUAUUUUGUUAUAUCAUUAGGAUAAUGAUGUAUCAACCUGCUAGUUGUUUUUAUAUGGCACAAGUAACCGAAUGUGUCGUGGAAGCGGAAGAACUACUGAAACUGCGUGAAACCUUCACAGGGGUUUAUGUACAACGAACGGGCAAACCCUUCUGGGUUGUAUCCGAAGAUAUGGAAAGAGAUGUUUUUAUGUCAGCAACAGAAGCACAAGCUUAUGGAAUUGUUGAUCUUGUAGCGAUUCAAUGAAAAUAACAUGGAUUUCGCGCAAAUCACAGAUUUGCGAUUUUAUCUUCGAAUUGAAUAUUCUAUUAAAUUGAAUAUUCUAUUAAAUAGAAGUAAUUCAUCAUCAUUCGGUUAGGAUCAAUCUAAACCAACCCAUCAUAUUAUGUAUACGAUUCAACAUGCCAACUAUUAAACAACUUAUUAGAAAUACAAGACAGCCAAUCAGAAAUGUCACGAAAUCCCCCGCUCUUCGGGGGUGCCCUCAGCGUCGAGGAACAUGUACUAGGGUGUAUGUGCGACUCGUUUAGAUCAUGAGCUGGCACAAAAGAAAGAAAACGACUUUUACAGUAUCAAUGAUCAGUACCGGUGAAUGGGAUAGGAUGGAAAAAGGAACUCCAUUCAUUAUUAAAAAAAAACUCUAUCAUAUCCCUCUAUUGUGUAUGAAGUUUAUGGUUUCCGUUGGUGUAAAUCCAAUCAAGAUGAUAAGAAACUCUCCAUUGGUAACAAAUGGUUAUCCAUUAAGUGGAGGAAAUCUUAUUUUAAAAGCAUAAAACAUAAAGAUUAGUUAGGCUCCCAAUCUGGCAAGAACGGACUAAAAGGGUCAGCUACCCAGCCAACUUUCAUAAUUAAAUACCGUUACUGUAUAGGUAGAUCUGACAGUGAAUGACCUAUUAUUGGAUAAUUCAUGGGUAGAGCCAAAGCGUGUGAACUAUACAAGUUGCCAAUAACAUCAAUUAGUUGAUUAAAUAUAUAUUAAAUUAAAGUCUAAAGUAAAGGCUCCGGUGUAUAGAGAAGACCUCACCGUUUAAGAAGUAACCAUAGAAACGAAGUUACCCACUAUUUCUUUUUUUUAUUUCUUUUAUUUUAUUUUUGAUACCUAGGAAAAUACAAUUUCUUAUUUCUUUCUUAUUUCGCAGUGAAAUACCUAAAAAAAAAAAAAAUAACAAAAUCGUGGUCGGGAAGGUUAGAGUAUCCAAAGCCAUUGGAAUUUUUAUUUUAUACAAUGGAAAAAUCCGUUUUGUUAUUAAUAGACUAGGAAGGGGGAAAGGAAUAACUGAAAGAAAGGUAAUCAAUUAAUAAUUUGUCAAAUUUUCAUUUAUUCAAUAACCAGAAUUAAACGGGGAUAUAUAGCUCGGAGAUGUAGAAAAAAAAUUCAUUUAUUUACAUCAAGCUUUCGAGGGGCUCAUUCAAGGCUUACUAGAAUUAUUACUCAACAGAAAAUAAGAGCUUUAGUUUUGGCUCAUCGGGAUAGGGGUAGGAAAAAGAGAGAUUUUUGUCGUUUGUGGACCACUCGGAUAAACGCAACAAUUCGCAAAGGGGGAGUCUCCCAUAGUUAUAGUAAAUUAAUAUACAAUCUGUACAAUAGAUGGUGUCUUAUUAACCAUAAAAUACUUGCACAAAUAGCUAUAUCAAAUAGGAAUUGUUUUUAUAUGAUUUUGAACAAAAUCAACUUGGAGUCUUUACCGGAGGCUUUAAAAACUCCCCAGGCUCUUCUAAGAAUAAAUGGAGGUUUCUUCUACCGGACGAGUUAGAAAUUAGUAUGAGAAAUAUGCUAAAGUAGUCAAAAUGAAUGAACACGUUCAAUUCAAUAAAAACAGAUUUCGUUUUUUCCGAUUCAUUUGUUUCUUACGACACGAUACUCAAAUCUAGAUUUGAGUGAAUCUAGAUUUGAGUAAUUAUGAUUCAAGUAAAGAAAAAGUAAGCCUAUUUAUUUUGGGCUUUAAAACCAGUAG